rnacentral:lncRNA from 1 species
GGCGCGCGCGGGAGUCGGCGGCGCGGGCACGGCGCGCGCCCCCUCACGCCUCCCGCGUUCCUGCCCCCAGGGGCAUCCGUAACUGAGUUGUGCUUUAUGAACAAGGGGAGGGGCCUAACAAGACGUCUGAAAGGGUGAGUUAUUAUCGAACCAAGGGAGAAUUUCUAUCUUAAAAGCCACUACAAGAAAGGAAGAUUAUAAAAGGUACUGUGUUUUCUGCAGCUGAGUCUCUUGAGUGUCUUGUUACUAUUUCAUUAUGUGUGUUCUUAAAUCACUAUCCUU